UACAGAGGGUGCGAGCGUUAAUCGGAAUUACUGGGCGUAAAGCGCACGUAGGUGGCUUUGCAAGUCGAUUGUGAAAUCCCCGGGCUUAACCUGGGAAUGGCAUUGGAAACUGGCUUGCUAGAGUGUGGCAGAGGGGGGUGGAAUUCCGCGUGUAGCAGUGAAAUGCGUAGAGAUGUGGAGGAACACCAGUGGCGAAGGCGACUUUCUGGUCUGUAACUGACGCUGAGGCGCGAAAGCGUGGGGAGCAAACAGG
rnacentral:rRNA from 1 species